CACCAGUGGCGAAGGCGACUUUCUGGACCGAUACUGACGCUGAGGUGCGAAGNCGUGGGUAGCGAACAGGAUUAGAUACCCUGGUAGUCCACGCAGUAAACGAUGUUCACUAGGUGUAGCGGAUAUUAAAAUCUGCUGUGCCGCAGCUAACGCAUUAAGUGAACCGCCUGGGAAGUACGGUCGCAAGACUA
rnacentral:rRNA from 1 species